rnacentral:rRNA from 1 species
UGGGGAAUUUUGGACAAUGGGCGAAAGCCUGAUCCAGCAAUGCCGCGUGUGUGAAGAAGGCCUUCGGGUUGUAAGCACUUUUGCCCGGAAAGAAAUCCUUGGCUCUAAUACAGUCGGGGGGAUGACGGUACCGGAAGAAUAAGCACCGGCUAACUACGUGCCAGCAGCCGCGGUAAUACGUAGGGUGCAAGCGUUAAUCGGAAUUACUGGGCGUAAAGCGUGCGCAGGCGGUUUGCUAAGACCGAUGUGAAAUCCCCGGGCUCAACCUGGGAACUGCAUUGGUGACUGGCAGGCUAGAGUAUGGCAGAGGGGGGUAGAAUUCCACGUGUAGCAGUGAAAUGCGUAGAGAUGUGGAGGAAUACCGAUGGCGAAGGCAGCCCCCUGGGCCAAUACUGACGCUCAUGCACGAAAGCGUGGGGAGCAAACAGGAUUAGAUACCCUGGUAGUCCACGCCCUAAACGAUGUCAACUAGUUGUUGGGGAUUCAUUUCCUUAGUAACGUAGCUAACGCGUGAAGUUGACCGCCUGGGGAGUACGGUCGCAAGAUUAAAACUUAAAUG